UGCGUGGGCUGCGGUCCCAGCGCCGCCCUUGCCGUGGGGUCCUUAAGGGCCGCCCGACCCUCACCCCCGCAGCGGCUCCAAGGUCCGCUUGAGGCGCAACAUGUUUGCUGCCCUGAUCCUGACCGCGAACCCGAACCCUAACCCACGUGGUCUCCUCCUACCUGAACUGGGGCGGCGAGCCUCAUCCCACCAGCAGGGGCUUCUGGAGAGGGCAAUAACCGGAUCUGUGAAAUAGGAAUUGUAUUAGGAAGUGAAGCGUGCAGUGGAGAGAAACCCAGCACUGAAGAGAGAACAGGCGCCUCGGGUUAAAGAGAGGCUCCACUGGACACCAGGUGGCACGAGGAACCUGGGGUGCAGGCAGGACAGUCAGAUCGGGAAAGAGCACCUCUGGGCUCUCUUCCGCAUGGAGCUCUGCCCUGUGUGAGAGGCCUGGGAGAGGGGAAGAUCCACCACGGGGAAGAACACCUGCCCCAAGCUAUGAGGUCGGCUGUGCUUUCCCAGCUCUACAGAGGAGGGGAUGGACCUAGUGCCCUUCAUUGAUAUCUUCACCCAAACUGGUACCACCGAAUGACCCACGGGAAGGUCUAAAUGGCUGUUCCAUUAGCCCUGAUUAAAUGGUGGAAACAGUAGUCCCUGGCGUGGACUUUCCAGUGGGAAACAGGCAGAGACCAUCAGCUCCUCAGACAACCUUUUCCUUCCACCAAUAAAAGUCUCUGAUGGCGCCCUCUGUGUCCCCCCUCCUUAAAGCCAGAUGUUUGGC
rnacentral:lncRNA from 1 species